AUUGAACGCUGGCGGCAUGCCUUACACAUGCAAGUCGAACGGCAGCACGGACUUCGGUCUGGUGGCGAGUGGCGAACGGGUGAGUAAUGUAUCGGAACGUACCUUUCAGUGGGGGAUAACGUAGCGAAAGUUACGCUAAUACCGCAUAUUCUGUGAGCAGGAAAGCAGGGGAUCGGAAGACCUUGCGCUGAUUGAGCGGCCGAUAUCAGAUUAGCUAGUUGGUGGGGUAAAGGCCUACCAAGGCGACGAUCUGUAGCGGGUCUGAGAGGAUGAUCCGCCACACUGGAACUGAGACACGGUCCAGACUCCUACGGGAGGCAGAAGUGGGGAAUUUUGGACAAUGGGGGCAACCCUGAUCCAGCCAUGCCGCGUGAGUGAAGAAGGCCUUCGGGUUGUAAAGCUCUUUCGGCCGGGAAGAAAUCGCAUAGGCUAAUACCCUGUGUGGAUGACGGUACCGGAAGAAGAAGCACCGGCUAACUACGUG
rnacentral:rRNA from 1 species